UACGUAGGGUGCGAGCGUUGUCCGGAUUUAUUGGGCGUAAAGGGCUCGUAGGCGGCGUGUCGCGUCGGGAGUGAAAGCCCGCUGCUUAACGGCGGGUUGGCUUCCGGUACGGGCAUCGCUGGAGUGCGGCAGGGGAGACUGGAAUUCCUGGUGUAGCGGUGGAAUGCGUAGAGAUCCGGAAGAACACCGGUGGCGAAGGCGGUCUGCUGGGCCAAGACUGACGCUGAGGCGCGACAGCGUGGGGAGCAAACAGG
rnacentral:rRNA from 1 species